rnacentral:misc_RNA from 1 species
UGAGCCACGAUAAAGAACUCCACACGUCAUCGCUGCCCACAAUCCUCAUCCCCGCACGCAACUCGAGUCGCACGCAAGAGCACGUAAGACUACACAUCCGCAGAAGUACGCCUCGUGUGUGUGUGUGUGUGUGUGCCGAUUUCUACUGUCCUCGGCACACGCGUGCACCCGCGCACACCACCUUGCCCUUCUAGGCCCCCCCGUCCUCCUCCCCUGUGUACGUCUGUGUCUAUCCCAGUUAUCUCCAGACAGCGUCUAGUUGUGUUUCGUCAUAUUUUUUUUCGCGGGGUUUGGGUUUUCUUGCCAGUGCCUGCGCCGUCGGGAAGCCACCGCAAUCAUCGCCGUCGUCGCCGUCGACCUUCGCGCUCUCGCUCUUUCCGGCACCCGCCCACAGAGGCUCAAGUGGCACACUUCCCCAUCGUCCACCACUACCAAACACCGCUACACGUCAGCAUACGCACUAGAACGGCAAGGAGAGGUCAUCACCAUCAGCACAAGUACCGUUGGUGCUGCGACUUCUUGUGCUUUCCUUUCUUGCCUUCUCCUAUAGUCUCUCCAUUCGGCCCUCCUGCCGGCCACGUUACUUAUCCCUCCCCCCUCCCCUCCUACACACCAUUCUCAGGAAUUCAUCGUUGUUGGCGUAUCUGUCCGCCUCUGUCUGUGUCUGCCUGUCAACGUGCGCCACCGUCCUUCGGCCCCUGUCCCCUUCUUCGUCGCUUUCUCAUUCCUCAUUACUUUCAGCACAAACAUUUUACGUGUGUGUGUAUGUGCGCGCUCGCGUCGUCUUUGGUUGCUUCACUGCCCUCCCCCUCAUCCCUCUCCUUCGCUCGCCUGCUCUGCCCUUAUCAGUGCCGUCGCGCAGAGUCAUAUACGCACGCGUCACGCAAAAGGCCAACGCAGCUGAAGAAGUACUAGUAGCUGUAGCAGGUGGCCGACGGUGUGCCAUCUCACCGUCCCCCCUCCUCCUCUCCCUCCCUCUGUAAGCUUCUGUGGGUGGCCGGCGCACGCGCACGAUGGGGACACAAGUUGAUCAAGCCCACAAGCCGUCUGUCGGGACGCCGACGGAGCUCACAAGCAUCCCGCCCACGGCAUCGGUGACGCCGCCGCAGGCGAAGUCGAAUGCAGAGGACGCGAAGGUACCCGCGCUCAGCCGCGCCGUGAACUUUACCUGGGAGAACCUGACCUAUCAGGUGCCGGUCGAGGACAAGGAUGGCAACGUCAUCUACAAGACCCUGCUUUUCAACCUCAGCGGGUGUGCCAAGGGUGGCCGCGUGCUGGCUAUCAUGGGGCCCUCUGGCGCGGGUAAGACGACGCUGAUGGGCACAAUCACUGGCAAGCUCUUCAACGCCACCGCACGGCAGGAAGGGUGCUGCUUCAUGAACAACAACAUUUAUCAGCAGCGCUACAAGCGCUUGGUGUCGUACGUGUGCCAGGACGAUAUUGUCAUGGGCAAGGACACACCGCGCGAGGCCAUCUACUUCUCCGCGCGUCUGCGACUCGGUCUCGACAGUGAAACCGCCCGUCGGCGUGUCGCAGACGUCAUCAAGCGUCUCUCCCUGACCAAGUGCCAGGACACGAUUCUUGGUAUCCCUGGCAUUCUGAAGGGCGUCUCCGGUGGCGAGCGCAAGCGUGCCAACAUCGGCACUGAGCUCGUGACGAACCCCUUUGUGAUGCUGCUGGAUGAGCCGACGACAGGCCUGGACUCUGUGAACGCCGUGCGCGUCGGUCAUCUCCUUCAGGAUCUAGCCAAGAACGACAUGCGUACCGUCAUUGCCACCGUGCACUCGCCAUCGUCGGAGCUGUUCGACCUCUUCGACGAUCUGCUGCUACUGGCGAAGGGCCACGUCAUUUACCACGGGCCCACGGCGGACUCCAUCGAGUAUUUUGCCUCCCUCGGCUACGACGUGCCGCCGCGCACGAACCCGACGGAGUACUUCAUGAACCUGCUGCAGCUGCCCGAGGAAAUCCUGUCGCAGCUGUGGCUCGCCUGGGAGGACUACGUCAUGUCAGAUGCGGCAAAUGACAACCCGUGCCUGACCCCGGUGACCGGCGUCAUAACGCUGACGGACGACUACCUGGAGGAGCAGCUGGAGCUGAAGGGCGCGAACUUCUGCCUGCAGUUCUCCGAGCUCUUCAAGCGAUCGUGGCGCAUGUACCUGCGCGACCCCGGCAACUUCUACGGGCGCUCCGUGCAGACGCUCUUCUUCGCCAUCUUCGUUGGCCUGUUCUUCUUUAACUUGCAGCUGAACCAGCAGGGCGUGCAGGACCGCCUCGGCGCGCUCUACGUCACGCUCAUGAACAACCUUUUCGGUGCUGCCAUGAACGGUAUUGCCGCCUUCCCGCCGGAGCGAGCCGUCUUCCUGCAGGAGCAGGCGAACGACGCCUACAACGCGUACACCUACUUCCUCGCCAAGAACCUGGCGGAGCUGCCGUGGCAGAUACUCUUCCCGACCGUGUUCGACCUCAUCGCGUAUUUCAUGAUCCACUUUCACCGAAGCGCCGGUGCCUUCUUUGUGCACUGGUUCAUCCUGGUGCUGCUCGCCAACUUGGGCUACUCCUUCGGUCUCAUGUUCGCCACCUUCUUCAAGCAGUCGCAGGCGGCCUUUGCCAUGGUUCCGCUUAUCUUGCUGCCGCUGUUCAUUGUGGCUGGGCUGUUCGCGAACACGGAUCGCCUGUACCCGUACUGGGAGUGGCUGAACUACAUCUCCUUCCCCCGUCACGCCUACCUCGGCGUCUUCACGAACGAGUUCGAGCGCCUGACAGUCAUCUGCAACCCCGUCACGCCCUUGUGCACGUUCCCGGACGGGCAGGCCGUCAUCGAGUACAUGGGCUUCCAGGGCUGGCACUACUGGCAGACAUUCGUCGCCCUUAUCGUGUACCAGAUCGGCCUGCGCUUCAUCGGCGCCACGUCGCUCUACUACCAGGGCCGGCAGCGCCGCGGUAAGCUUCAGUUUGUGAAGAACCUCCGCAAACGCGUCGCCUCGCCGCGCGCCAUCGCGUCAGCCCGCAGCAACGACGAGCUGUCCGACGUUCAGUCGACGCUGGUGGGGUCGAUUGCGACGCCGUCGAACGCGUACGGCACCGGGGUAUCGUCGCCAAUCAACAACCCGGAGAACCAUCAGCCGAUCUGGGACGGCGAGAGCGAGCGUGCGACGCUGGCGUUGCCUGACACGCCGGUGACGUACGUGGAAAGCCCCGUCGACGUGAAGGAUAUGAAGCCGCGCAAGUACCGGUCGUAAUGCAGCGUCGCGCGUGCGCCUGUUGCGCCAAGGCUGCGUCUGUCCCAGCGCCGCUGCCGCCGCUGCAGCUCAUUCGCCGCGAUGGAGGCGUGGGGAGGAGACGGUCCGACACGAGGCCGAUAGCGCCCACAUGCACGUGAAGAUCAACACAAGAACACGCAUGCGCGUGCGUUGGGGUCUCUGCAAGAAAUCGGGGGCAGCAUCAGUGUCAUCACCGUAAUGCCCUCGACCCACGCUCCCUGCCCUUCCAGCCCAACACACCCACCGCCCGCACACCCCCUCCUAAGAAGGCAUGGAGACGAAGGCAAGCACGGGGGUGGUGGUUGGGGGGAGGAGAGGGGGACGCAUGAGGCACAGCCGACAUGCGUCCACAUGCGCAGUCACACGAACGAGCCGACUUGGUGGAGGAGAAAACAAAGGAGGGAGGUAUCGGGUUGUGGUGGACAUGUGGGCUCAGCUUCGCGGAGGAUGUUUCUGUCGCAACCCUCCUCCUACCGACCCCGCCUUGUAUCGGUUUGCGUGCAUGCUCAUCGGUGCACCUUUUCUUUAUUCGGAUGCACAAGUAAGCCCCACACACCCGUUCUCUCUCUCUUCCACCCUCUUUCUCAGGCGCGCGUACGCGCGCGCUGUGGGCUGCGCACACAUGUGAUGUGAGAUGCUACCCGCGUGUGUGUGUGUGUGUCCCUGUCUUUCGACACAUCGACUAUGCAUACAUAUGUAUACGUACGUAUAUAUAUAUAUAUAUAUAUACAUACAUUAGUAGAAGUACAUAUAUAUGCAUGUAUAUACAUAUGUAUGUAUAUGUGUGUAUUGGUGUCUUUCUGUCGUCGAUAAUCGGCGUGGUAUUCCGAUUCUUCAGCGCACUUUCUCGUUUGCUUGGUGUUCUCAUUUGCUGCGGUGCGGCGCACUCGCUGCGUGUGUGUGUGCGUGUGUCGGCGCGACGAGGCGGAUGGUCUUUGAUGCGCCCCGCAGGCAUGCGUUGAUUUCCCUCUCCUCUGCUGUUGUUUUUCUGCGUCAUCAUGAGUGUUUGAGUGCGUCGUGUGUUGCCAUUGACCCCCUCCCCUUCCUCCCCCCUUCCCCUUUCCUUUUACCUCUCGUUGUCUGUUGACGAGUAUGCGUGUUUGUGUGUGUGUGUGUGUGUGCAUGCCUACGGGAGGGCGGGAGCACCCCACGGACACACAAACACACGCAUACGUAGACCUUCACUACGCAGGACUCCACCACCACCAUCACCACGGCAGCACCGCGCCCAACCCAUCUAUUUUCUUCGCUGCAUUGUUCGACGAUCCUUGUGCCCUGUUGUUUCUGCUAGUUUUGGCCCUUCUCCCUCCUUUCGUCCACCGUGCACGCUGCAGUCGCUCGCUCUGGCUCUCCAUCACGACUCACUGCCUGCUCUUGUACACGAAGCAGAUCCUUGUGUGGUGGCAGUGGUUGUGGGUUGGUGUUGUGGAGGGGAAGGGGGGGGGCGUUGCCGUACGCACGGCACACUCUCUCCCCCCUUCCCCCUAUCCCUCCUUGUUCCUUCGAUUCGUGCAUGAAUCAUCAAACCCGCUGCCCCGGGGCCGCGACUACCCUUGAAGCGCGUAUGUCUUUGCUGGGGCCACUCCUGUUGGCUUGCGCCUUGUCGUCCUCGUCUCGUCUCGUUUCUGCCGUUGUCCCUUCCCUUUUCCGUUGUGUGUAAGUCUACACGACAUCGUCUAAUUUGACUUCUUCUUCAUUGAUCAUCAGCAGCAGGAGGCAACCACCACCAACGCCACAGGGCACGCACUCACUAGCUUUUUUCCUUUGGUUCUUCUCUGACCGAAGGCCAGUCCUUCCCCUCGUGUGUGCAGUAUGUACCCGUGUCCUCCUCCUUCAGCUUCUCUAUCGACUUCGCGCGUGAUGGCGGCGGCUUGCGUGUGCGUGCUCUUCCUCGCCCCUAUUGCCUUGAUUCUUCUUCUGAGAAGUGUGCUCUUCCGUAAUGGGGAGGGACACCUCCGAAGAGUAUCCCGGCGUCUCCUGUACACCAUCUCCACACAGGCACACGCACACACACUCUGUCUGUGGGAAGCAGCCAGGCCGCCCACACCACCACACCCCAUCCCCUGCCAAUGCCGAGCCGCCUCUGGUGGGGUAAGAGGGUGGAGCGCUGACGAGGUAGGGAGCUCAGAGCGCCCCAUCGCUACGGAUGUCGGCGGUGAGGUCCUGCACGGUGCUGCGUCGGAGCGACCGGCGACCGUGCCCACGUCUGUGCCGUCCAUGUGAUGGGCAGAGUGUCGGCGUGACUCGAGCGCAUCCCACCCCCGGCCCUCACACUGCCCACCGGUGGGGGAGUCUGAGUGCCACCCCGAGGGGGGGAUGCGCCAGGGAUGGCGACCUGCGAAGAGGCGGGUGGGCGGGUAGAGUUUGGUGCAGGGGGGCCGCGCUCAGACGACGGAGUCGGCGCGCCGCUGUAACGCGGGUGUCGGCGGCUGCGUCGCACCUGGGGGUGGGGGUAGAGAGUGGCGUGUGGUUCGAGCCUGUGCCAUGCUGCCGCAGGGAAUGGGGCACACACACACACACACACGUGAAGCGCAGCAGCGAAAACGUUACGUAUUCUUUAUAAGCAUAACCACCGUUGGAGAGUGGGGAGAUGUUUUCGCGCUGCCUUCGUUGUCGGUCUGCAGAGUUUGUGUGCGUCUGUGUGUGUGUGUGUGCGCGCGGUACCGCUGGCGUGUGCCUGUGAGUGCGUGUAUUGGUGGGAGGGGCGAUUCGGUGAGGGAUUCUCUGUCACCGGUGUGGUUGCCUUCGUCGUUCGCUUUUUGCAUGUGUACAUCUGUACUCGUGUGCGUGCGUGUGCCCGUCUCUAUCUGGCAUCUUUCGUUAUUAUGGAUGGUUCGUGCUCCUGUCGCACCUCGCACUACAACGCACUGCGCGCGCUCACACGUGCGCAAGCCGAUGAUGGCGCCAGGGUGCUGCGUCAGUGCCCGUAAGCGGAUGUGUGUGUGUGUGUGUGUCUUCCCCUCCAGCCCGCCCGAUAUAACGUGUCAAAACACUUGUUUUCGCAACCGUAACCAGCGCGCAUGCUGCGGCGAUGGAGCAACUACUUCGGAUUGAUGGAGGAUCCGCCGCUGCUCCACACUCCACCGUCUCUCAUGAUGGUGAUCGGUCGGAG